rnacentral:rRNA from 1 species
UACGUAGGGUGCAAGCGUUAAUCGGAAUUACUGGGCGUAAAGCGUGCGCAGGCGGCUUUGCAAGACAGAUGUGAAAUCCCCGGGCUCAACCUGGGAACUGCAUUUGUGACUGCAAGGCUGGAGUACGGUAGAGGGGGAUGGAAUUCCGCGUGUAGCAGUGAAAUGCGCAGAUAUGCGGAGGAACACCGAUGGCGAAGGCAAUCCCCUGGACCUGUACUGACGCUCAUGCACGAAAGCGUGGGGAGCAAACAGG